rnacentral:rRNA from 1 species
AUUGAACGCUGGCGGCAGGCCUAACACAUGCAAGUCGAACGAGUGGCGGACGGGUGAGUAAUGUCUGGGAAACUGCCUGAUGGAGGGGGAUAACUACUGGAAACGGUAGCUAAUACCGCAUACCAUCAGAUGUGCCCAGAUGGGAUUGGCUGGUGGGUGGGGUAACGGCUCACCAAGGCGACGAUCCCUAGCUGGUCUGAGAGGAUGACCAGCCAACCGGGAACUGGGACACGGUCCGGACUCCUAGGGGAGGCAGAAGUGGGGAAUAUUGCACAAUGGGCGAAAGCCUGAUGCAGCCAUGCCGCGGGUAUGAAGAAGGCCUUCGGGUUGUAAAGUACUUUCAGCGGGGAGGCGUUACCCGAAGAAGAAGCACCGGCUAACUCCGUGCCAGCAGCCGCGGUAAUUC